rnacentral:rRNA from 1 species
GAUGAACGCUGGCGGCGUGCUUAACACAUGCAAGUCGAACGGUAAGGCCCUUCGGGGUACACGAGUGGCGAACGGGUGAGUAACACGUGGGUGAUCUGCCCUGCACUUCGGGAUAAGCCUGGGAAACUGGGUCUAAUACCGGAUAGGACCCUGGGAUGCAUGUCCUGGGGUGGAAAGCUUUUGCGGUGUGGGAUGGGCCCGCGGCCUAUCAGCUUGUUGGUGGGGUGAUGGCCUACCAAGGCGACGACGGGUAGCCGGCCUGAGAGGGUGACCGGCCACACUGGGACUGAGAUACGGCCCAGACUCCUACGGGAGGCAGCAGUGGGGAAUAUUGCACAAUGGGCGCAAGCAUGAUGCAGCGACGCCGCGUGAGGGAUGACGGCCUUCGGGUUGUAAACCUCUUUCAGCACCGACGAAGCGCAAGUGACGGUAGGUGCAGAAGAAGGACCGGCCAACUACGUGCCAGCCGCCGCGGUAA